AACGAACGCUGGCGGCGCGCCUAAUACAUGCAAGUCGAGCGAGAAGACGUAGCAAUACGUUUGUAAAGCGGCGAACGGGUGAGGAAUACAUGGGUAACCUACCCUCGAGUGGGGAAUAACUAGCCGAAAGGUUAGCUAAUACCGCGUACGCUCCUUGGACUUCGGUUCAGGGAGGAAAGCGAUACCGUGGGUAUCGCGCUCUUGGAUGGGCUCAUGUCCUACCAGCUUGUUGGUGAGGUAACGGCUCACCAAGGCUUCGACGGGUAGCUGGUCUGAGAGGACGAUCAGCCACACUGGCACUGCGACACGGGCCAGACUCCUACGGGAGGCAGCAGUAAGGAAUAUUGCGCAAUGGGCGAAAGCCUGACGCGGCGACGCCGCGUGGGGGAUGAAGGUCUUCGGAUUGUAAACCCCUUUCGGGAGGGAAGAUGGAACGAGCAAUCGUUCGGACGGUACC
rnacentral:rRNA from 1 species